UCUGUUGUUAGGGAAGAACAAGUACCGUUCGAAUAGGGCGGUACCUUGACGGUACCUAACCAGAAAGCCACGGCUAACUACGUGCCAGCAGCCGCGGUAAUACGUAGGUGGCAAGCGUUGUCCGGAAUUAUUGGGCGUAAAGCGCGCGCAGGCGGUUUCUUAAGUCUGAUGUGAAAGCCCCCGGCUCAACCGGGGAGGGUCAUUGGAAACUGGGGAACUUGAGUGCAGAAGAGGAGAGUGGAAUUCCACGUGUAGCGGUGAAAUGCGUAUAGAUGUGGAGGAACACCAGUGGCGAAGGCGACUCUCUGGUCUGUAACUGACGCUGAGGCGCGAAAGC
rnacentral:rRNA from 1 species